UAACGUUGGGUUUUAAUUACAGGCUAAUUUCACUGACUGUUACCGGGCCCAGGUGUGGCACAGCUCUGUAAAGCCUUCAUGGUACAAGUGAUGCUGUAAAAAGUAAAUGCUCUGGCUUUGUGGCAACUUACAUCAAAUACCUGAUGUGGGAAAUGUUUCUCUGAGGCUCUGAAUCCUGAAACCCAGCCCUCACUGCUGGCAGAAGGGGUGUUUGCACAAGGGAAGUUGUUAACAAUCAGAGAGGUUUAGAUUACAGGAGCUACAGGCCACUCGGUCAGUGAGCUGUCUUGGGACUGGAGAAGAGGAGGUUACAAGCUGUUACUGAUUGGAGGAGCAGGACUAAUAAUCUGGCAUUUGCCUUAUAGACCCGCAGUGGCAUCUGGGCCUUGCACAACACCCAGCAAGGGAAAGUCCCUGCCCUAACUGGUAGGGACCCAGCUCCUUGCCCCUCAGCAUCACUGAACAGUGAUGAAGUGUGGCCCUUAUGAGGGAAAGAUGCCUUGAUAAAGCCCCAGGCCCAGCAGGGAGAGGAGGUUUCCCACUGGGAUGCUGAACUCCUGGGCUCCUCCGUGAGGAGUUAAACUCUGACGCAGCAGCUGGCAGUAGAUGAGGUUGCUGGGCUGGAUGCUGUGUGGGACUCCGAGCACCUUCACUCUACCCAUAGCAGGGUUUCAGGAAGCACAGGUCUAUGCCAGGCAGAACUGGGAUUCAACUGGAUUGUAGCAAGAGUUCAAACUGGUUAACUGAUGAGCUAAUGUUUCUUGGUGCCUGAUAAACUUCCCACUGCUCCAGCAGUGCCCACUUGCCUCUGGCAGUUAACCUCAGUCUGCAGCUGCUGGGCGUUCCCAUUGGCCAGCAGUUCUUGUGGCUGCCCCCAGCAGACCUUGUGAGAGAUCUAAUACCAGGAGAGCCCAUUUCCACUUCCAGCCCUGCCUGUCAGCAGGUUAAAAAAUACUGUCAUUGAUAAAAUUGUAAUCGGUUACGUGAUUAGUAUUGUUAAGCAUUUUUACCUCCCUAAUCCCCACCUGCGUCGUUCUUUAGGAAGGGAGCUUCCUAAGCAAGUUGAGUAAGAAACCACAAUACUGUUAAACAAACAAACAAAAAAUCGCACUGCUUGCUGUUUAUCGGGUCAAGCAGAUGUUACCAUCUAAGAGAAAAGUGCCUUACUUCCUCUUUUCUCUAUAAAUUUCCACUGUGACUUUGUAAGAAGGUAUAAAUAUCUCAGACGUUUGAGUGUGAGGAGAGGCUUGUAUCGGUAAGGGGUAACUCCCUGCCAUCUGCAAUACCACCACC